rnacentral:rRNA from 1 species
GACGAACCGUACGAACGUUGUUCGGAAUCACUGGGCUUAAAGGGCGCGUAGGCGGCUGAUCAAGUCAGGGGUGAAAUCUUUCGGCUCAACCGGAAAAGUGCCUUUGAUACUGGUCAGCUUGAGGGAGGUAGGGGCAUGUGGAACUUCCGGUGGAGCGGUGAAAUGCGUUGAUAUCGGAAGGAACGCCGGUGGCGAAGGCGACGUGCUGGCCCUCUUCUGACGCUGAGGCGCGAAAGCUAGGGGAGCGAACGGG